AUGAACGCCGGUGCUUGUUCCCGGCGACUUCAAGCAUCUCCAUCCAUGCCCUUGCGCCAGAAGGUUCCCCUCGAUGCGAUGAAUCCAUUCAGGAAAGAAGGAACGCAUUCAGUUGACCACACGCGAAGAAUUUCACAUGUGCGUGUACACUAUUCGUCAAGUUCACCACAUCGUUCUGUCCAACUCGGGAGUGACGACGAUGUUGGACAUGGACAGAAACAAGUUACCGAAGAGGGACUCAACAACGAAGAGUUCCAUGAAGACGACGGUGAUGACUACGACUACUAUGGCGAUCUGCAAGAGUGA
rnacentral:rRNA from 1 species